AGAGGGAUUGGAACUUAGAAUAAAGGUGGUCCUCUUGACUCAGCCCUUUAAGCAGGGGUGAAAUUGUUUUUCUCAGAUGUUAAUUGUUAUGACUCUUAGAGUUUUUUUCCCCUGUGUUUGUUUUUCAUGAUGCCACAGGCACUGAAUUAUUUAAGGGUGAAUCUUAUGCAAAACCACUUGUUCUGCUCAAUGAACUCAUAGGUUCUAAGUGGCUCAUGAGUAUCCUUUUAAAUUCCUAUUAUGAUAAAUGAGACCAAAUGGCAUGUUUUGCUGUAUUGUCUAAAUUGGUCAUGUUUUUUUGUAUAUUUCCCGACUCCUCUAAUAUUAUAAAAUAGGUUAGGAAAUAAAUUAUAUAAACCAGGACUCUUACUCCAAAAUUCAGCCUCUUGUGGAUAGCAUGCCUCUCUAUUAAAGUAAGAGGAAACUCAGGAAGAAGGUAGAUGGGUUUGAGACAACCUUUCCGGCCCUGGUUAAAAUGACUUCUUUUACUUCUUUUUAUUUUUUGAUGUUUAUGUUCAUCAUAGAGAUCGUCCAGUUCCCAAAUACCUCAGCACCACAGGUAAAGUGGGAACUUAAGAGGCCAGUGACUGCCAGAGGCCCGUGUUGCUUAACUGGAUUUAUAAUCUUGUACCAUAGUGUUAAAAAUAGACAUCAUUAGUUCCUAGAGGCUGUCUCCGGGAUGUAUCAGAACUGAAAAAAAUGACUCUACACACCAAAAGAAGGAGAACGUGAAAAAAAAAUAGUCUGUAUAUUGUUUGUAUGACUCAUCCCUGACACUGAAUAUUCAAGAGUAUGAGAACAAGACAAUUAAAUUAUAUGAGCCUUAUUUUUCUUAUAUGUACAAUAGGUCAAAGCUGUUGAGGCAAUUUUUUUUUUUUUUGGCUUUCAGGUAAUAUAUGAAGAAUAGGCUAGGUAAUUAGAUGAACGUGUUUUACCUAACAGAGGUUCAUCCAGGAAGAGGAAAUCACUAAUAAUCCCCCAGAACUCUAGGCAUAAUGCCCUUCCCCCCCGCCACCAAAGAUGUUCAAGCACUAAUCCCUGGAAAUGUGUAUAUGUUAUAGACCUUAAAUCAUAAGAUUAUCCAGGAUUGUCCAGGUGGAUUCAGUUUUAUCACAUGGACCCAUAAAAGCAGAGAACUUUCCCUGGCUAGAAGCAAAAGAGGAGGGCAGAGAGUUGCAGCAGAAGAGGAAGAGAUUUCAAGUGCGAGAGCAACUCUCUCCCUGCUGCUGCUGAAACCCAUGAGAAGGAAUGCAGCCCGUGGCUGCAGGUGGAAGCAAAGAACCUGCUGACAGCGAACCAGGACCUCAGUCCUACAACCAAAAGGAACUGCAUUUACUCAGUGAUCUGAAAGAGCUUGGAAGGUGGUUUUUCCCUAAAGACUCUCCAGAAUACAGUAUGGUGAUACCUGUAUUUAGUCCUUGUGAGACUCUAAGCAGAAGCCUUCACUGAGCCACACUACGCCUAGACUUCUCAUCUAUAGAACUAUGAAAUAAUUAAUGGAUGUUGUUUAAAGCCGCUAUGUUUGUGGUAAUUUGUUACAGAAGUGAUAGGAAACUAAUACACCCUCAUUGCUGGGAGAAGGAAAAAAUAAAAGACUGAAGCAGGUAAUAAAGCAUAUGGCUCCAAUACCUGGCCACCCCACUCUUCCUGCUCCUCAGAGACUGACUCUGCAGAAGGGGACACAUUCUGGGAAAGGGUGGGCCUCUGAAAGGAGAUCUCCUCAUGGGAUGUUCUUCCUACCUGGGUACCAUUAUGUUAUCUCUUUGUAAAGGCAACUUGCCAGUGUCUUUUACUUAAGUGAGAGGAAGCCUUGAAGUUGAACUUUCCUUUGUGCACAGGUGAAACCAAGUAGUUGCUGCAGGCUCCAUUGCCAGGUGUGAGGAGCAGCUGAAGGGGCUCAUUGGCAUAGGGAACUCUUUGGGGCCUUAAACAGAGUAGAGAUUCUGAGCUGUUAACAGUUGAAUUCAGUUAUAAAUGCUAAUAAAGCAGGCAGCGAUAACAUGACAACAUUGUUUUGGAGACCACAGGGCCAGAGGGCAGUGCCCAGAGACUGGCUCAUUCUCUUCACUGUGAGGUGAUGGGAAACACACACCUCUCUCCUCCUGGCACACGCAUUCAAAUGUAAUUUUGAAGAGGAGCCAGAGAGAUGGGGAGAAGACCAAGAAGUCUGGGAUGAAACAUUAUUUUUCUAGGAAAGAGCUUUACCAUCCUGAAGGAACUGUUAAGCUAAUUGGAUGAAAGUUGUUUUAUUCUCUACCAAUAAUCAGGGGAUCGGGAAGAAAGACAAAUUAAAUUUUAAAAAAGGAAUUUUAUUUUCUCAUGAUGAUGGUUAAUUAUAUAUGUCAACCUGGCUGGUUUAGAGUUGCCCAUAUAGUGGAUAAAAUAUUUCUGGGUGUGGCUGUGAGGGUGUCUCUGGAAGAGAUUAGCAAUGGAAUCCAUAGACUAAGUAAUGAAGAUGUACCCUUACCAGUACAGGUGGGCAUCAUCUAAUCGGUUGAGGAUCUGAAUACAACAGAAAGGUGGAAGAAGGAUGAAUUUGCUGUCUUGACCUGAACUGGAAUAUUCAUCUUUUCCUGUUCUUGGACAUAAGUACUCCUAGUUCUUGGCUUUUGGACUCAAAUCAGACUUAACACCGUCAGCUUCUCGGUUCUCAGGCUUUUGGACUUGGAAUGAAUUAUGCUGCUAUUAGAUUGUUUAGUAAAUUUUUUGGUGGAAUUUGAUAAGGAACAAAAGUCCUCCAUAAGGUGACAUGUGACUUAAUGAGUGCCACAGAAAUAAUUGAGAAAUCAAGGGAAUUCCAGAAAAACAUCUACUUCUGCUCCAUUGUCUAUGCUGAAACCUUUGACUGUGUGGAUCACAACAAACAGGAAAAUUCCCGAAGAGAUGGAAGUACCA